AUACGGAGGAUCCGAGCGUUAUCCGGAUUUAUUGGGUUUAAAGGGUGCGCAGGCGGGAGAUUAAGUCGGCGGUGAAAUUUUGCAGCUCAACUGUAAAAAUGCCUUCGAAACUGGGUUCCUUGAGUGUAGAUGAAGGAGGCGGAAUUUGUGGUGUAGCGGUGAAAUGCAUAGAUAUCACGAGGAACUCCGAUUGCGCAGGCAGCUUACUAAACUACUACUGACGCUCAGGCACGAAGGCGUGGGGAUCAAACAGGAUUAGAUACCCUGGUAGUCCACGCAGUAAACGAUGAUUACUAGCUGUUUGCGAUACAAUGUAAGCGGCUGAGCGAAAGCGUUAAGUAAUCCACCUGGGGAGUACGUUCGCAAGAAUGAAACUUAAAGGAAUUGACGGGG
rnacentral:rRNA from 1 species